rnacentral:rRNA from 1 species
CCUACGGGUGGCAGCAGUGGGGAAUAUUGCGCAAUGGGGGAAAGCCUGACGCAGCGACGCCGCGUGAGGGAUGAAGGUCUUCGGAUCGUAAACCUCUGUCAGCAGGGAAGAACGGUCACUUUGCUAAUCAGCAGUGCAUUGACGGUACCUGCAAAGGCAGCACCGUCUAACUCCGUGCCAGCAGCCGCGGUAAUACGGCGGGGGCGAGCGUUAAUCGGAAUUACUGGGCGUAAAGGGCGCGUAGGCGGUAGGGCAAGUCCAGGGUGAAAUCCCCGGGCUCAACGUGGGAACUGCCUUUGAAACUGGGAAACUGGAGUGUGUGAGAGGAAAGUGGAAUUCCAGGUGUAGGAGUGAAAUCCGUAGAUAUCUGGAGGAACAUCAGUGGCGAAGGCGACUAUCUGGAACGUAACUGACGCUGAGGAGCGAAAGCGUGGGUAGCAAACAGGAUUAGAUACCCUUGUAGUC